GCUUAGCCCUAAACAUAAAUAGUUUAGUAUAACAAAACUAUUCGCCAGAGAACUACUAGCAAUAGCCUAAAACUCAAAGGACUUGGCGGUGCUUUACACCCCUCUAGAGGAGCCUGUUCUAUAAUCGAUAAACCCCGAUAAACCUUACCACUUCUAGCUACUUCAGUCUAUAUACCGCCAUCUUCAGCAAACCCUCAAAAGGAAGCAAAGUAAGCAUAAUGAUUCCUGCAUAAAAAAGUUAGGUCAAGGUGUAACCCAUGAAGUGGAAAGAAAUGGGCUACAUUUUCUAAACAAGAACACUAUACGAAAAUUUUUAUACGAAAUUAAAACCUAAAGGUGGAUUUAGUAGUAAAUUAAGAAUAGAGAGCUUAGUUGAAUUGGGCUAUAAAGCAC
rnacentral:rRNA from 1 species